UACGGAGGGUGCAAGCAUUAAUCGGAUUUAUUGGGCGUAAAGGGCGCGUAGGCGGCUUUGCAAGUGGCGGGUGAAAUCCCUCGGCUUAACCGAGGAACUGCCUGUCAAACUGCAUGGCUUGAGACCGGGAGAGGUGAGUGGAAUUCCCAGUGUAGCGGUGAAAUGCGUAGAUAUUGGGAGGAACACCAGUGGCGAAGGCGGCUCACUGGACCGGUACUGACGCUGAUGCGCGAAAGCGUGGGGAGCAAACAGG
rnacentral:rRNA from 1 species